rnacentral:rRNA from 1 species
GAUUAACGCUAGCGGCAGGCCUAAUACAUGCAAGUCGAGGGAGAUUGUGGUAGCAAUACUACAUGAGACCGGCGUACGGGUGCGUAACACGUAUGCAACCUACCUUUAACUGGGGCAUAGCCCCGAGAAAUCGGGAUUAAUACCCCAUAAGAUCAUAGAAGGGCAUCCUUCAGUGAUUAAAGCUCCGGCGGUUUUAGAUGGGCAUGCGCGACAUUAGCUAGUUGGUGAGGUAACGGCUCACCAAGGCUACGAUGUCUAGGGGUUCUGAGAGGAUUUUCCCCCACACUGGUACUGAGACACGGACCAGACUCCUACGGGAGGCAGCAGUAAGGAAUAUUGGGCAAUGGGCGCAAGCCUGACCCAGCCAUGCCGCGUGCAGGAUUGACGGCCCUAUGGGUUGUAAACUGCUUUUGUACGGGAAAAAACCCCCGGUCGUGAACCGGGGCUGAUGUUACCGUAAGAAUAAGCAUCGGCUAACUCCGUGCCAGCAGCCGCGGUAAAAC